rnacentral:tRNA from 1 species
AAUAGAGUGGCUGAUAAAAGCAUUAAACUGUAAAUUUAAUUAUGGAAAUUAUUUCUUUCUGUUA